UAGCGUAUAUUAAAGUUGUUGCAGUUAGAACGCUCGUAGUCGGAUUUCGGGGCGGGCCGACCGGUCUGCCGAUGGGUAUGCACUGGCCGGCGCGUCCUUCCUUCCGGAGACCGUGCCUACUCUUAACUGAGCGGGGGCGGGAGACGGGACUUUUACUUUGAAAAAAUCAGAGUGUUUCAAGCAGGCAGCUCGCUCUUGCAUGGAUUAGCAUGGGAUAAUGAAAUAGGACUUUGGUGCUAUUUUGUUGGUUUCGAACACCGAAGUAAUGAUGAGAAGGGACAGUCAGGGGCACUCGUAUUUUGCCGAGAGAGGUGAAAUUCUCAGACCAGCGAAAGACGAACCACUGCGAAAGCAUUUG
rnacentral:rRNA from 1 species